GACGAACGCUGGCGGCGUGCUUAACACAUGCAAGUCGAACGGAAGGGCCCUGCUUUUGUGGGGUGCUCGAUUGGCGAACGGGGGAGUAUAACGUGAGUAACCUGCCCUUAACUUUGGGAUAUCUCUAGGGAACUGGGGCUAAUACAGGGUAGGAUCUUCUGCUGCACGGUGGGGGUUGGAAAGUUUCGGCGGUGGGGGAUGGUAUAGCGGGUUCUGAGCUUGUUUGUGAGGUUGUUGCUUCCCAGGGUUUUGACGGGUAGCCGGCCUGAGAGGGUGACCGGCCACAUUGGGACUGAGAUACGGCCCAGACUCCUACGGGAGGCAGCAGGGGGGAAUCUUGCACAAUGGGCGGAAGCCUGAUGCAGCAACGCCGCGUGCGGGAUGACGGCCUUCGGGUUGUAAACCGCUUUCGCCUGUGACGAAGCGUGCGUGACGGUAAUGGGUAAAGAAGCACCGGCUAACUACGUG
rnacentral:rRNA from 1 species